AGGCAAGAUGUUGGCAUAGCUGUUGAGUUCAGGGACCUGCUAUGCUGUCAUAUUGCCCUG
rnacentral:pre_miRNA from 1 species